rnacentral:rRNA from 1 species
GACGAACGCUGGCGGCGUGCUUAACACAUGCAAGUCGAACGGAAAGGCCCUGCUUUUGUGGGGUGCUCGAGUGGCGAACGGGUGAGUAACACGUGAGUAACCUGCCCUUGACUUUGGGAUAACUUCAGGAAACUGGGGCUAAUACCGGAUAGGAGCUCCUGCUGCAUGGUGGGGGUUGGAACGUUUCGGCGGUUGGGGAUGGACUCGCGGCUUAUCAGCUUGUUGGUGGGGUAGUGGCUUACCAAGGCUUUGACGGGUAGCCGGCCUGAGAGGGUGACCGGACACAUUGGGACUGAGCUACGGCCCAGACUCCUACGGGAGGCAGCAGUGGGGAAUAUUGCACAAUGGGCGGAAGCCUGAUGCAGCAACGCCGCGUGCGGGAUGACGGCCUUCGGGUUGUAAACCGCUUUCGCCUGUGACGAAGCGUGAGUGACGGUAAUGUGUAAAGAAGCACCGGCUAACUACGUG